GACGAACGCUGGCGGCGUGCUUAACACAUGCAAGUCGAACGGUAAGGCCCCAGCUUGCUGGGGUACACGAGUGGCGAACGGGUGAGUAACACGUGGGUGACCUGCCCCGCACUUCGGGAUAAGCCUGGGAAACUGGGUCUAAUACCGGAUAGGACCGCACCGUGAGGGUGUGGUGGAAAGUUUUUCGGUGUGGGAUGGGCCCGCGGCCUAUCAGCUUGUUGGUGGGGUAAUGGCCUACCAAGGCGGCGACGGGUAGCCGGCCUGAGAGGGUGGACGGCCACAUUGGGACUGAGACACGGCCCAGACUCCUACGGGAGGCAGCAGUGGGGAAUAUUGCACAAUGGGCGGAAGCCUGAUGCAGCGACGCCGCGUGGGGGAUGACGGCCUUCGGGUUGUAAACUGCUUUCGCCAUCGACGAAGGUUUUCUGACGGUAGAUGGAGAAGAAGCACCGGCUAACUACGUG
rnacentral:rRNA from 1 species